rnacentral:misc_RNA from 1 species
AUUCUUUCCUCUUAGCUGUUGUAAAUGCAUUUUCUGGUGCAAUGUACCCUACUGUACCCACAACUAAGGUGGAUUGCCCUGAAUCAGAAGUCUGAUCCAGAAUCUUGGCUAUACCAAAAUCUGAGAUAUGAGGCUCCAUAUCAGAGUCUAACAGAAUGUUUUCUGGCUUCAGGUCUCGAUGCACUACAGGAGGAUCACAAUCAAAGUGGAGAUAUGACAAUGCAUGAGCAGUUCCAAUGGCUAUCCUGUAGCGUGAAUUCCACUCGAGAGUUGAUGCAUUUGUUCCAUGCAAAACGUCGUGGAGGCUCCCAUUCUGCAUGUGCCUAUAAAGGAUUAAACCAUAAUCCUUUCUUAACCAAAACUCCUCCAACCUUAUCAGAUUCCGGUGCCUGAUUUUCCCAAUUGUUUCAAUUUUCUCUAACCAUACUUCUGUUUCCUCCUUUAUGAUUAAAUGCAAUUUUCUUUACAGCAAAAAGUUCAUCUUCGCCCAAUGAAGCUUUGUAAACAAUUCCAUGAGCUCCCCUCCCAAUGAUAUAUCUGUCAUUUAGAUUUUCAGUAGCUUCCAUCAAUUUGCUGAGUAGUAAAGCUGACCCCCCUUCAGAUGCA